GACGAACGCUGGCGGCGUGCUUAACACAUGCAAGUCGAACGGAAAGGCUCCAGCUUGCUGGAGUACUCGAGUGGCGAACGGGUGAGUAACACGUGGGUAAUCUGCCCUGCACUCUGGGAUAAGCCUGGGAAACUGGGCCUAAUACUGGAUAUGACCUUUCUCCUUAUGGGGUUUGGUGGAAAGUUUUUCGGUGUAGGAUGAGCCCGCGGCCUAUCAGCUUGUUGGUGGGGUGAUGGCCUACCAAGGCGACGACGGGUAGCCGGCCUGAGAGGGUGAGCGGCCACAUUGGAACUGAGAUACGGCCCAGAGUCCUACGGGAGGCAGCAGUGGGGAAUAUUGCACAAUGGGCGGAAGCCUGAUGCAGCGACGCCGCGUGAGGGAUGACGGCCUUCGGGUUGUAAACCUCUUUCAGCAGGGACGAAGCGUAAGUGACGGUACCUGCAGAAGAAGCACCGGCUAACUAUGUG
rnacentral:rRNA from 1 species